rnacentral:misc_RNA from 1 species
UUCCGGUUAAAGCUAUUAACCUAUUGAAGCCUAACAUGGGCGACUAUAAAAUAACCAUGGAGUUCGGCCCCCAGCGGGCAGGACAACACCGCUGAAAUGCUGUUAUCAACUAUUGUUGUACCAGCAGCCUUUUUACAGGGCCCACAGAUCAAGCCGCGGUGAUCCCACCUAGAGUAGUUAGGUAGGACUAUAAUAUGACCGGUCUCGCCUGAGAUGGUUGAGAGGAUACGUUCCGUAGGUGAACCUGCGG